rnacentral:rRNA from 1 species
GUAUGCCUAACACAUGCAAGUCGUACGAGAGUUUUUAACUCAAGUGGCGGACGGGUGAGUAACGCGUAGGAAUCUACCUAGUAGUGGGGGAUAGCCAAGGGAAACUUUGGGUAAUACCGCAUACGAUCUAAGGAUGAAAGGGGGCCUCUCUUUGAAGCUCUCGCUAUUAGAUGAGCCUGCGUAAGAUUAGCUUGUUGGUGGGGUAAUGGCCCACCAAGGCGACGAUCUUUAGCUGGUCUGAGAGGAUGAUC